GCAAUUCUGAAACGAUAAGAAAGAAACGAAAUUUAUCAAUGAUUUUAGAAACGAGUUUCGUAAAGUUUCGUUAUACUACGUUAUUAAUAAACAGCGGAUAUUUAUGCAAAUUCGCAUUGUUAUGAACAUAAUUAAGAAGAUGGAACCUAGGAAUAAUCUAGCACAAGGUACGGUCUACCCGUGCUAGAUUGCAUGGAUAUUUUCACAGAAUGCGCAUACGGGAAAAUCCGUUAAGUCUAAAUAUACUCUGAUGGUAACACUGUGCCGCAAUAUCCGUUCCUCUCGUUCAGCUAUCAGCAGUCAAGAUGCAGUUAUUUUCGUUCGAAAUACACUGUGACUUCGAUCAUUUUAAAAUGUUUGAUUAAUCUACCAGACGUUUAUGAGAGAAGUUAAACAGACUGUUACCCGCAUAGAUCAACAAGUUUAAUAAAGAAACCCAUCGU